GCAGUGGAGAGAAUGCAGGGAAAGGACCACAUUUAAAGGAGGCUGUUUUGCAGAGGCGGAGGCUUUUAUUGAAAAAACAGUGACUGCCUUUUUAACAGGUAGAUAUGGAAACCAUUGGGAGGAAGAGAGCUCCUUGCGGGACCGCGCUGGGUCGCACGUGGCUUCUGGUCCAGGUUGCCUGCAUUUCCGGGAGGUUCCUUGCAGGUGGUCCCCUGCCUUUUGUGCUGACCGCACGUGACCCGUGGAGGAGGACGGCGGUUCCUGUCCAGGCUCUCCUGCGUUUGUCCUAUUGGGACUCCUACCCCUGGGUUCAUUUUCUUGUUUUUUUGUGGUUUCGCAUGUUAACGAUCCUGUAGGUACUGGGCCUUAAUCCCUGGGAACUGUCGAUGUGACCUUAUUGGCAAAAAGGCCUUUGCAGCCGUUACUGAAUCAAGACUCUUGAGAUGGGAGGUGGCCCUGGGUGUCUGGAUGGGCCCUAAGUGCAGUCACAUGUCCUUAGGGAAGGGAGCCGGGGGAGAUUUGGUCGUGCACGGAGGAGAACACGAGGUGAGACGGGCAGAGGAGGAGAACACGAGGUGAGACGGGCAGAGGAGCCCUGAAGCUGCUGCGCACCGAGAGCUGCAGCCGGAAGCCGGGGAACUCCCGCAGCACCAGCAGCUGGAGGAGGGAGGGUGGGAGCUCCCCGGAGCCCCUGAGGGGCGCAGCCUGCCGACACCUUGACUUCAGCUCGGUGAGACCAGAUUCGGACGUCUGUCUCCAGAACUGUGAAAGGAUGUCUCUCUCACUCUAUCCAGCAAGGCUUUUGGUAACCUGAGAGCGGCCACGGGAAACAAAGUCAGACCUGGUAUUGGGAAGUGGGGAGCUGCUGCAACAAAGACCUGCAAAUGUGGACGCGGCUUUAGCUGGGUGAACGGGUCGAGGCUGGGAAAGCUCUGAGGUGCGCGUUAGCAGAGAUGGUUGGUAGAAGAAUGGGCAUUAAAAGUCUGCUGAGGACUCAGAAGGAAAUAAGAAGUGUUCUACUGGAAAUGGGAGUACGGGCAAUUCCUGUUAUGUGGUGGCAGGAAAUGUAGCCAAAUUGGGUCCUAUAGUUGUGUGGAAAGAAACACUUGUACGUGCUGGAGGGGGAUUUCCAAGCCGAGUGUUGAGGUGAAGCCUGGUUUCCUCUUGCUCUUUAUUGUGAAACACAGAAUGAAAAAGAUAAUCGAGGACAGAACUGUUCAACACAAAGGAACCAGCACGUGGUGGUUUUGGACCUUCUCAGCCUAUCCGGAUCACAAAGAAUGCUAAAAUUAGGAGCUUCGCUGUUGGGAAAGUGUGAUCUGUAGAGAAGGUGGAGGUUGAGGCUGGGCAACCUUUUGUUGAAGAGACUAAGUGCACUGAACCGUCUCAGCAGAAGCCAGCAGUAAAGAAGGAGCGAUCCAGGGAAGACGCGUGGGGGGUCCCCUUCUGGGGUGACACACACAGGAGACCCACACGCUUUUUGAGAACGUGCCAUCAGCAGAUACCGCUCGUGGCUUGAAGGGCACGGCUAGGGGUGAGGCUCUCCCCCAGCUUUUGUUUUAUCUGGGAAUGGCUCUAUCUCUCCCUUGCUUUUGAAAGAAAGUCUUGCCAGAUAUGAAAUUCUUGGUUAACGACUGUUUUCUUUCAGCACUUUAAGUAUUUCAACCCACUGCCUUCUUGCCUCCAUGGUUUCUGUUGGAAAAAAACCCAAAGAGCUCUUAAGCUAAUUGGGACUCUCUUGUAUAUAACAUGUUGCUUUCCCCUUGAAACUUACUGCAUUCUCCCCUUGUCCUUUGCACUGGACAGUUUAAUCAGUAUGUGACAGGGCAUAUUUUCUUCCAGAUUAUCCUGUUUGGUGUUCUCUGGGUUCCUUGUAUCUGCAUAUUCACAUCUUUUGCUAAGUUUGGGAAGUUCUCUGUCACUAUUUCUUUGAAUAUUCCUUCUACCCCUUUCUCUCUUCUUCUCCUUCUGGGACUCUCAUAAUGCAUAUAUUGGUAUGCUUGAUAUUGUCCCACAAUUAUCUCAGGCUAUUUUGUUUUUUUAUAAUUCUUUUUCCUUUCUGGUCCUCAGUCUGACUUGCUUCAAUUGUCUUGUUUUUUUUUUUUUCCAUUUUUUGUUUUUAUAGCUGCUCCCCCCCCCCCCCGCCCCUGCAGCUUUUUGGGUGCUGUCUGCUCUCUCUGUCCACUCGGUGUACGUUCUUCUGUGUCUGUAUUUACUUAUUUCAUUUCCCCUCCCCUUGCAGCUUGCUUGCUGUCUGCUCUCUGUGUCCAUAGGCUGUGGGCUCUUCUGUGUUCUCGCUUGCCUCCCUUCUUUUUGUUGCAUUACCUUCCUGAGUCAGCUCUCUGUGGCGUCUGCAGGCGGGGCGGUACUCCACAGCAUUUGCAGGCUGAGCGGCGCUCCAAAGUGUGCGGGCGAGCCCGCCUGCACAAGGAAGCCCGGGUCACGAACCGAGGGCCUCCCAUAGGGUAGACGGGAGCGCAUCUGAUUGAGCCACAGCCGCUUCCCCAGUUGUCUUGUUUUUUAUUUCACUGAUUCUUUCUUUGGCCAGCUCCAGUCUGCUCUGGAAACCCUCUUGGGAAUUUUUUUCUUUUCAGUCAUUGUGGUCGUCAAUGCUGGCUGUUCUGUUUGGUUCCUUCCUAAAAUUCCUCUCUCUUUACUGGUACUCUCAUAUUUUUCAUUCAUUGUUUUUGUGAUUUCCUUUAGUUCUUUCUCUAUGUUUUCCUUCGUCUCCUUGAGCAUGUUCAAUGUCAUUUACUUUAAAGUCGUCGUCCAACAUGGUCCACAGCCUGGUCUUAUUCACUGAUGUUUUCUGGAUUUCUAUUCUCUUCCUUUGCAUGGGCCAUUAUUUCCUGUUUCUUUGUCUUGUGAUCUUUUGUUGCAUACAUUUUAAUAUUUUAAAAUCUUAACUUGGGAUUUAUUCCCUGAAAUCUGUUUCUUGAGUUUGUAUUCAGCUGGUGAUAUCACAGAGAUUUUCUUGAGUGUCAGGAGUUAGUAAAACCAAGCAAACCUAAGCAAUAAAUGCCUUUCUCCAUCUUUGCAAAUUGGCUUUGCAUUGCCUUGUU
rnacentral:lncRNA from 1 species